GACCGUGCGCACAUCUGCUCGUGGCAGAAACAUAAACGAACACGCGGGUACUUCAGUCGCCUCCGCGCUACUUUCUUUCCCCUCUUAACCCCGCCCGCGUUCCCUCUCUCUCCUCAGCGGCGGCAGACAGAUGCACGUGGACGAGCACAGCAAUCUACGCCGCAGCGCAUACACGCACGCGUAGGGCACUGUAGGUUUUUCCUUCCCUUUGCGCACGCUGCGAGCUCUGCGAGACGUGGGGCCACUGCGACUACCCCCACCGCUGCUGUGUUCCUCGGAGAGCAGGACUGCAACGGAGCCAUGCCGCGCGUAUCGCCCCAUCUCUGUCUGCGCUUUGUUGAUUUUUAUCAUGACGGGCAUAUGAUGGCCAGCGCCGCCUCGCCUCGAACGGCGGACAAUUCGUGGUGAAUGUGUGCUCGGGCCUGCUGUCCAUUCACCACGCGACUGCGCACAUGGAGGAACUACUCCUUAUUUUUUUAUUUUCUUGGCUUUCGAGUCUGUGGACGAGUACACGGCACGGGGGCGUCUGUGUCGGUUUAGUGCAGAUGUUGAUUCUCUUUCUCUCUCCUGGGCUUGCUGAGCGCUUUGGGGCUUUGUGGGAACUAUAUCUCGCUGGCGGCUGAGUCGUGCACGGCGGUGCUUGUCCACAGCUUGCUCCCUCCCCCCUUGUGCUGCCAGAUCGGAAGCAAGGGGAGCCCUAGCAUAUGCCAUUUCCCAGAACGUCGAAUCCCGUUGCGAGGACCGCGCAGGGGCGACGCUGCGCGUGUGUCGGCACGCGCGCGGCUGUGCUGCGAGAUUGCCUACUCCAGCUUUACGCCAUUUGCGGCCCUUGUGUGAUCCCGCGACUGCCGCGGAGGUGGCGAGCCGGUUUACUGGGCCUGCAGAGGAGCUGCUUGCGGCGUUGGAGGUGGAGCGCGACGCGUACAGUUACUUCUCGUUCAACUGAGGACCGUCCAGCGUUGCUUCCGCACUGGCACUCUGAUUAUCACACGGGCGCGUGAAGGGGGCGCACGAGGACUUGGAGCCGCCGUGCGAAAGAAACAUGCGCAGCAGCAAAGGGAAAGGUACCGCAGGGCCUGGCACAGUGCUUUACGAGCAUCCGGAGGGAAGGGCCGAAC
rnacentral:misc_RNA from 1 species